AUGUUGAUAGUAUAAUAAGUACAGCUGCUUCCAAGCAGAAAGACCAAAAAUGGUCAACAUA
rnacentral:tRNA from 1 species